UUGAAAGGGAAACGAUUGAAGUCAGUCGUGCUGGCGGGAAAUCAACCUUCUCGUCUUGAGAUCACAUGGCGUGGCGAGCCUCAAAACCGUCACGAAGCGUGAACUCUUUGUGAAAUGGAGCACUUUCGUGUCCGCUGGUUAACAUCAAUUUCGAACGUCAUAAAAAGGCUGGAGGGAUGUGGCUCCUUCGGGAGUGUUAUAACCUUUAGCGGAAUGUGGUGUUCGGGAUUGAGGAUUGCAACGAAUACCUUUAGGGCUGUUCCACCUGGCUUCUCUUUGGUAUCCUGGUGACGACAGCUUGCUGACGUCGUUAGGAUUCGCCUUUGAACAGGUUAGAGUGUGAGCAAAUUCGUUAAGGAUGUUGACGUA
rnacentral:rRNA from 1 species